CCCCUCCCGGCGCUCUGCGGCCUCGCUCCCGUGCUCCUCGCGCCACUGCCGAGGCCUCGCGACCCCCGCCGGCGUCCCCUGGUGCCCAGAAAAGCCGAGCGCGCAAACGGCGGUCAAGGAGGAGGAGGCGGCGGACGAGGAGCUUCUCCACCCUGUCCCUGGGGCUGGGCCCGGGGCGCGCCUGUCCUCUCAGCGGGACAGGCGCCCUCUCCCUGCACUUUCCAUAUGGGACCCCCACCGUCUUUCGAACUCUUCCUCCGGGAAGAUCCCUCCUCCAGCACCCUCGUAGGCGGGGAGCAAAAUCGGGGCGCCCAGCCGCCCCCGGUCCGGGAGGUGCGCCGCCUGGGCCCGGUCCCGGGAAAGCACGGCGGGUUCGGAGAGCCUCCGACGCCCAGAAGGCCGACCGCACGUCUUCGGGCCGGGCUGACUGGCCCGCAGCGCCCAGCGCGUAAACCCUAAAGACCGCGGAAAAGCUGGAGCGCGGGGGCCGCUGCGGGAAGGGGGCCGGUCGGGAGCCGAGCAGAGGUUACAGACCUACGGGGACGCCAGGUCCUUCCCCCAGAGCUACCGACCUCCGGUUUUCUUAGUUUAUUCCGUUUUUUGGAGGACCCUCCUUUCUACCCACUGUUUCCUCCUCCUUGCCUUUUUUCAUGUAACCGUCCAUCCUUGAGGAGGCUCCAUAGGGAUCCGUGGUCAAGGUCCUGACUGCUUUUGUAGCUGCGCAGAGCUCCACUGUGUGGUCAACCCGUCCCCUGUUAAUGGGCCCGUGGGUUGAUCCAGCCUCGUCUCCACUAGCAGUCCUGCAUCAAGUGGCCACCUGCAGGCAUCUUUUUGUAUUUGGGGCAAAUGCACACCUGGUGUGUUUGCCAACCAAGCUCUGCAGUCUCGGGUGUUCAUAGCUAAACAGAAUGCAACAAAGUUUUAUCCUGGGGGGAGGCCAGGAUAACUCACAAAAGUGAGUUAUCCUGGCAGAAAUGUUUGAUAUUUUGGCCGUCUCUAGUGUGUUAAAAUGUGGUAUAGAACACAUUUGAGAAUGGGUUGCAGGUGAAGGGUAAAAAAAGAUAAUCAGGUCCUUGUGUAGCUCUCACAGCAGAUCUGAGGCCUCUUGGUUUCCUUUGGACACAGUCUGAGAACCACUUUUUUGGUUGAUGAGUGUCAUAGCAGGAGCUAUGAUCCUAUCUGUGCUCUUGGGGAGGGGGAAACUUCCCCUCAACCCCUCUUGGGUUCUUGUGGCUGGACUGAUAGUACAGUUGGCACAAGACAGAUUAACAGGAGAAAAAGAAACUAAUUCUAAUUCAUGUGCACGGAGGCCCUGUAGAAAUGGGACCUAAGAAGUGGCCAAAGCAGGAAACUUUUAUACUUUUUAGACAAACAAUAAAUUUGUGAGGACUCGACAGGACAAAGAAACUUAGGUUUGGGGUGCCAGUUAAAGAAUGAGGUUUGUUUGUGUUUCUCGGCCCCCAAUUCCCCAUCUUUGGGGAUAAGGGUGUCCUGCCUCUAGAUGCAGGGGAUGCUCCUUUCACAGAAAAGAUUUAUGUCCUGCUUUCAGGGAGACAGAAAGGAGGGUCAGAGUGUCCCUUUGCAUUGGCCGUUUCUUAAGUACUUUAAUUCAAAAUAAUCAAUAUGCCGUUAAGGCACAUUUUGAGAUGGCCUAUCCUGGGCCCCAAAGGUCCUCACGUGGGUGAAGGGAGAGCUCUCUGGGGUCCUUUUAUAGGGGCAUUAAUUCCAUAUGUGAGAGCUCUGCCCUCAUGGCCUGAUUGUGACCCGAAGGCCCUCACCCCAUUGGAGGUUAGAAUUUAAAUGUGUUGAGGCGGGGAGACGUAAGUCUUUAUAGCACUUGGUUAUGAACUUCUCCGGACUCAGAGUUUCCAUUUGUUAAUGGAAUCAGCAAUGCUUGCCUUGGAGGGAGCACUUCGUAGGUGCUCACUCUAGGUAAGCAAAGUGUGCCACCCCAAAAUGUGUCUCUUUGGCAUGAGGAUUAAUUUAGGCUGAUUGCUUUUAAGAAAGAAGACUCAGAAAGUGUUUCUUUUUACUUCCCCCUUAGCUGCCUAAAGAAUUUAGAUAAAGGGCCCGUUCCUGGAAUAGAGCCGUCGCCACAGAUAUCUACAAAGAACAUGGCCCAAUGUGGUGGGAAAACCUAGAGGUCAGAGUCCGCUCUGUGUCCCACUGUCUCUGCAAGGCCCACGAACAUUUGCUUACCACACAUCUGCUUUUCCAUCUCUGUGAAUUGCCUUCCACCCCUUUGAAGUCCCAAACCACUACCCUCAACGUGCUCUUUUGUCUUCAGCUGAAGAUGGUGUUUAAGGUCAAUUUAAUUCUUAGAGCAGCUGGAAAACCCUAGAAGGGCAGAGGCAAAGGUCUUCCUCCCCGACACUGCCGAAUGAUAGCUGCUUUCACCACUGAACUGUGCUCUGUUUGCAGACAGCUCUCUCUUGUUCGACUGGGAACUCUUUGAAGACCCUGGUUCUGUCUUUUCCUUGAUUCCCCGGUAGAACAGACCUGCAGUCCCUUAUCUGCAAUUCCAAAAUGCAGAAAGCUCUGGACACUGAGAAGUUUUUUUCCCGUAAGUUUGGUGCCAAGAUUCUCUUUGCUGCAAAAUCUGACCUGACCUGACUGUAGCACUCCAAUGCUCCCAGGGGUGCAGGCGCCUCUAUCAGUUGCUGGUGUUGUGUGUGUUUUAAAUUUUUAAGUUUAUUUUUCCUUUUGUGACUUUGUGUUCAGUCGUACUAUUCAUGCAUGAAAAAAGAGUUAAAGAUACCCCACUGCUUGCUGGGGACACAGAUAACACUGUCCUUGGUGAUAUCAGGAAGCCGGUGAUGUUGGGACCCACCAUGACAUAUGACUUUGGAAAUCAAAGGGCGGGCAGUUGAAGUUCUGCAGGAUUGGUGAUGACCAAGACCCACUGAGACAUGGAAACCACUGCCUGGGGGGGCAGGGGUGCUGACAGAAGUGGAUGGUGGGCUUGGCAGUGAGGACGCCAGCGUAUGCCAAACAGCAUUUGCUGCUCACGAGACAGCUUGGAUAGCACAGGAAGAACUGAUUUUUAAAGCUCUGAAUGCUUUGAACUCCGAAGCCCAGCCUGCCCCGGAAGACUCAGACCUGGAGCUCGGCAAAAGCAUCCCAGGAAAUAUUUGUGAGCGAAUGAAGCGUAGUGAGGGGGGAUCACUGUGGGGUGUGACAGACACUCUGAUGCAAGGAGCCGUGGCCCAGGCCAGCCCCUGGGGAGGAGGGGGAAGGGGCGCAGGGAAUAAGCCAGUUCAGCCAGUCUCUGUACUUGACCGACGCUCUUGUGAACUGAAGAUGCCGAAGUAAAGGCCUUGAUGGGACUUACCGUGUCUAUCAGACUCUGUGUCCCUGAGGGCAGUGCCGGGGUCAGAGUGUCAGAUAAAACACAGGAUGCCCAAAUAUCCGGAAAAAAGACGAAAACUCUUAAUUCAAAAUGAUGCAUGCAACCCACUGUUCAUAGCAGCACUAUUUAUAAUAGCCAAGACAUGGAAGCAUCCUAAGUGUCUAACAUUCGAUUAGUUUA